GUGGGGAAUAUUGGACAAUGGGCGCAAGCCUGAUCCAGCCAUGCCGCGUGAGUGAUGAAGGCCUUAGGGUUGUAAAGCUCUUUCAGUGGGGACGAUAAUGACGGUACCCACAGAAGAAGCCCCGGCUAACUUCGUGCCAGCAGCCGCGGUAAUACGAAGGGGGCUAGCGUUGUUCGGAUUUACUGGGCGUAAAGCGCACGUAGGCGGAUCGUUAAGUCGGGGGUGAAAUCCUGGAGCUCAACUCCAGAACUGCCUUCGAUACUGGCGAUCUUGAGUACGGAAGAGGUGAGUGGAACUCCUAGUGUAGAGGUGGAAUUCGUAGAUAUUAGGAAGAACACCAGUGGCGAAGGCGGCUCACUGGUCCGGUACUGACGCUGAGGUGCGAAAGCGUGGGGAGCAAACAGGAUUAGAUACCCUAGUAGUCC
rnacentral:rRNA from 1 species